rnacentral:rRNA from 1 species
UACGUAGGGGGCAAGCGUUGUCCGGAAUCAUUGGGCGUAAAGAGCGUGUAGGCGGUCCGGUCAGUCGGUUGUGAAAGUCAAGGGCUCAACCCUUGAAUGCCGGCCGAUACUGCCGGGCUAGAGUCCGGAAGAGGUGAGUGGAAUUCCUGGUGUAGCGGUGAAAUGCGCAGAUAUCAGGAGGAACACCGAUGGCGAAGGCAGCACUCUGGGACGGUACUGACGCUGAGACGCGAAAGCGUGGGGAGCAAACAGG